AGGGAAACCGAGUCUUAAUUGGGCGUUAAGUUGCAGGGUAUAGACCCGAAACCCGGUGAUCUAGCCAUGGGCAGGUUGAAGGUUGGGUAACACUAACUGGAGGACCGAACCGACUAAUGUUGAAAAAUUAGCGGAUGACUUGUGGCUGGGGGUGAAAGGCCAAUCAAACCGGGAGAUAGCUGGUUCUCCCCGAAAGCUAUUUAGGUAGCGCCUCGUGAACUCAUCUUCGGGGGUAGAGCACUGUUUCGGCUAGGGGGUCAUCCCGACUUACCAACCCGAUGCAAACUGCGAAUACCGAAGAAUGUUAUCACGGGAGACACACGGCGGGUGCUAACGUCCGUCGUGAAGAGGGAAACAACCCAGACCGCCAGCUAAGGUCCCAAAGUCACAGUUAAGUGGGAAACGAUGUGGGAAGGCUCAGACAGCCAGGAUGUUGGCUUAGAAGCAGCCAUCAUUUAAAGAAAGCGUAAUAGCUCACUGGUCGAGUCGGCCUGCGCGGAAGAUGUAACGGGGCUAAACUGUGCACCGAAGCUGCGGCAGCGACGCUUAUGCGUUGUUGGGUAGGGGAGCGUUCUGUAAGCCUGCGAAGGUGUCCUGUGAGGGAUGCUGGAGGUAUCAGAAGUGCGAAUGCUGACAUAAGUAACGAUAAUGCGGGUGAAAAGCCCGCUCGCCGGAAGACCAAGGGUUCCUGUCCAACGUUAAUCGGGGCAGGGUGAGUCGACCCCUAAGGCGAGGCCGAAAGGCGUAGUCGAUGGGAAACGGGUUAAUAUUCCCGUACUUGGUGUUACUGCGAAGGGGGGACGGAGAAGGCUAUGUUGGCCGGGCGACGGUUGUCCCGGUUUAAGCGUGUAGGCUGGUUUUCCAGGCAAAUCCGGAAAAUCAAG
rnacentral:rRNA from 1 species